UACGAAGGGUGCAAGCGUUACUCGGAAUCACUGGGCGUAAAGCGCGCGCAGGCGGUCCUUCAAGUCAGAGGUGAAAGCCCAGGGCUCAACCCUGGAACUGCCUUUGAAACUGGAGGACUUGAGUACGGGAGAGGUGAGUGGAAUUCCGAGUGUAGAGGUGAAAUUCGUAGAUAUUCGGAAGAACACCAGUGGCGAAGGCGGCUCACUGGCCCGUUACUGACGCUCAGGCGCGACAGCGUGGGGAGCAAACAGG
rnacentral:rRNA from 1 species